GUGCUCGCUUUGGCAGCACAUAUACUAAAACUGGAAUGAUACAGAGAAGAUUAGCAUGGCCCCUAUACAAGGAUGAAACUAAAAAAAACCAAAUGGGCUGGCAAUGU
ensembl:snRNA U6 U6 spliceosomal RNA